UCAACCCAAUGGAUUGAAGAUGCAAAGCCUGUUUGGUUUGCUGAUUUUAUUCACUUCACAAAUCACACACAAAGAGCCACAAAUGUACUCGGCACUUCAACCCUGAAAUCAAACAAUUCCAUCCAAUUCCAAUUUCUAAACCCUAUUCUCCGCUGUUGGCACUCACGCUGAGCCACCAUCGGGUCCUCGAUGUUGAGCCACCGGCCACUGUAGCACUACAUAACCACUGCAUUGCUGGUAACUGAUUCCACUCGUGAUGGCGUGAAGUAAGCGGUGAGCCUCGUGCCUUUCUUCAUUUUUUUUUUAAAUUUUUUGGUUUUUGUUCUUCUAGUUCGUUUAUUGAUUUAUUAUUAUGAAAUUAUGAGUUAUCAAUUAAAUUAAUCAGUUAUAAAUUAUGAAUUUAUGAGUUUAUGUUUUAUGAGAAUUUACUGUGAGUUUAUCUAUGAGUUGUGAGUUGUGAGCCUCUCAUUAGUAUUUGAGAAUAUGUGAUAUCAUUUAUGUGGACUAUGGAAUCUGUGAAAAUUGAGGAUUUUGUGAAAAUCGGGGAUUUUGGAAAUGGAAACUUUUAGUAUCCAUGGAUGAGGAAAUCCCCAAUAGUCAUUGAACUUUGCAGAAAAUUCCCUAGGAGGUCACCGAACUUCAAUACGUCUUUGAAUGGUCACUGAACUUUUUCGAAAUCUCCCAAAAAGUCACCGAAUUUUAAAAUGUUCCCGAAUGGUUACUGAACUUUAUAAAAAACCCUGGGAGGUCACUAAACUAGCUAUGUUUGGGGUCCCAAUUUGCAACGUUGAAUGAUCUCUCUAGGGGAUUUCGACAAAGUUCAGUGACCAUUUAGGGACGUUUUAAAGUUCAUUAACCUCUUGGGGGACUUCGGUAAAGUUCAGUAACUAUUUAGGGACGUAUUGAAAUUCGAUGACCUCCUAGAAAUUUUCUACAAAGUUUAGUGACCAUUGGGGGGAUUUCCUCAUCCAUGGACUUAUGGAAUCUUUUAGAAUUUGUCAAAAUUGGUGAUUUUUGAAAUGAAAACUUGAUAGUUAAUAUGAGAUUUACGUUUUAGUGCACUUAUAUAUUAAUUGAAAUUUUUUAAUAUUAUCCAAUCCAAUACUCCCUCCGUCCCAAUUAUAUAGGUUGAGUUUCUUUUUUCUCUUGUACCAAAUAUAUAAGCAUGUUUCCUAAUUUAGAAUAUUUUGUUUUGUUUCUUUAUCAAUAUACCCUUAUUCAAUUUUCACCACUUAAUAUGUCAACUUCUUGAAAAUUUUCAAAUACAGACAUUCCCACUUCUUGAAAACAUGAAACAACUCUCAUUUCUUCUUAUUCAAAUUCUUUUACUAAUUCCAACAAUAGUUUAUUACUACAUACUGAAAAUUAAAUAGGGGUAAAUUAGGGAAGAUUUUGGCAAAAAUUAAUUUUUCAAUGACAUUAAAAAAGAUUUCUUAAUUCGUGUGAAAAACGAACCAAACCUAUAUAAUUGAGUCGGAGGGAGUAUUAAUAAACAAUCUUGCUAAUGCGUUGGUCAAAAGUCACUGACUGUCCUAAAUGGCUCCAAUUCGUGAAUUCAUACUAGGUGUACGUGUAGCAUGACCCAGUCACUUUAGGAUGAUAGGUCAAUUUUGAAAAGUUCGCCGAUUUUAUUAUUUUUAUUAUUAAAAUAUAGGUUCGGAAUGUACCGAUUUUGGUCCGAUCUGCCUCUCUGCCAGUGGAACAAAUUUUGUCCACUUCUCAAAAUCGUGGAGCGACAAAAUAUUUUCAAUUAGUAAAUUUUUAUCGACAUUUAAAUAAUUUUUUAGAAUAUUAAAUGAUUUUUCUGUUGAAAAAUGUUUAAUACAGUUUUUAGUUUGGUUGCUAAUUCUACGAAAGAAUUGUCUAACAAUCUAUUUAAAAUAUAUAUAUUUUAUAUAAUUUUCAACCGAAUCAUCCCAUCGUAAAUCUGUUGGACAAUUGUUUAAUUUAUUAUUUAUUUAUUAUGCCAACGGAUUAGCAACAAAAGUUUAACAAUGGGAGACUUCCGUUGUUAAUCUAUUCGGUAAAUUAAUAUCUAUUUUUAAAAAUGAUAAAAUAAUUUCCCGUUGGAAAUUUGUAGCAAAUACAUCGUUUUUACCAAUGGAAUAAGUUGAUUGGUAAGAUUGCAUUGCUAAAUGCUAAGGCCUCACAUUCUAAAUAAUUAUCAGUGUUUAGCAUAGCAUUCCUCGAUCUGUGUAUAUAUUUAUGUGCGUACGAUAAUAAUUUUAUAGGUAUCAUUGUCGAGCUUUUUUUAUAGACCAAUUCAUUUAUUAUGGCUUGAAUUCUCAUAUUUGAGAAUGGUGGAUUCCUUGUUGAGCAUUUAUUUAUUCUAUUAUAAACGAAUUCCGUAUGUAUAGCAAAUUAAUUUAGCAUCAAUGGUUGACAACGUCAAAAUUAUUUUAUAAUAAUAGAGUAGUGAUAAAUAAAUAUUUCAUAUCGAAGGACAACACCCCCCUUUCAUAUAGAGUUUCAUAUCAUGCGUCCAAUGGAUGGAAGAGAAUAAGCAACCCGCCAAAUAUUACGUGGUGAGUGAUACAAGGGUUGCAGCUGUGUUGGUUUCAAGUUUAGAAUGAUAGGUCACUGUAUUGCAACAUAUGAGUUUCAUAUUGUACGUACUUUCAAUUGAAUAUAUUAUUUAAUGUCAUCCUAUUAUUAUAUAAUGAAUUAAGUAUGACAAAUAACAUUAUUCAAAAAAAUUUGAUUCGUGUUAUAAGCACAUUACAGCGUAGCGCCAACAUAAGGCUAUUUAGACUUGUUAGUUGAUAAGUUAAAUAUAUAUAUAGAAAAACAUUAGCUUGUAAAUUCGCACUGUCGUUACUUGCCACAUAUGAUACACGUUUUUUAGAUAAUAAUAUCUAACUGCUAAAACUAACCUAUUUUUUUCGAUGUUUUGACUGAAAAUUAAUCAAGUCAAUCAUUAUUUUACAGAAGAACACUAUCUAUAAGAAAAAUAAAUAAAUAAAAAUAAAAUUUUAGCAUGCCCUGAAGACCUGGCGAUGUGGCCAACUAUAUAUGCAUUAGCAAAAACUUUGUGAAUUGUCUUGCUUUGGUCAAUUUCUUUCUCUAGCUUUUCUCAUAUGCAUUGUUAUUAUCUUAUAGACGUGAAUCACGAGUUCUCAUAAAUUAUAUCAAGAGUAGAGGUACAGAUAUUGACAUAUAUAAAAUUUACACUUAUCUUGGCCAUCAAAAUUACCUUUUGGAUGUAAUUUUAUGAACUGGAUUAUUACCUUUUAUGUGUUUUUUAUUAUUUUAGGAGAAAAGUUGGGAUUGGAGAAGAACAGUGGAAAGUGGCAAUAAUUGAUCAAAAAGGAGUAUAGUUGGACAUGAUCUGGAAGUUAGGGACUAAUGAGCACGUUUGAAAGUUGAAUGACAUCAAUUGCAAUAUUGAAGAACUCAACCUGAGUUAAAAGAGAAAACAAAGACCCUAUCACACAAGAGAAUAUUAAAUUUCAGCAAUUUGAGAUAUCAUACUUGCACUAAAAUUAUGGUUCCUCAUCUUAUUAGAACUCCAUUUUAGACAUAAAUUAGGUCUACAAAUAAGAAUCUUUCAUUCCAAGUUUAACGGAGGCUGGAAAUAUUAUUUCCAGGCAUAAUUACAAAUCCAAACACAGUGAAUCCUUAUCAAAACUUCCAACAUAAUAAUGAAGAAUAUCAACUCACAAAAAUGACUAAAAUGCCUCUAAAAUUGCCUAUAAAUAAGACAAGUGUACAACGAAGAAAGGGAUUCAAAUUCUACACAAAAAUUAUUGAGAUUGAAAGAACAUCUCAUGUAAGUAAUAUCUCGAAGAUUUAAAGGCUAUCUUCAAUUAAUAAACACCUCUUACUGAAAGAACAGCAGAACAUAUCUCUAUAAAGCAAAACCUAGCUUCAAAAUAGACAAAAAUCCCCAAAUAGAGGAAAAUUUGACUGUCGACUUUGAAAAUUACUAUCCAUUUCUUUUAAGUACCCGUUUGUAGGAACUCUAAAUAAAACCACAAGCGAAAACACCUGAGGAAAUAGAGAAGCCAAGGAAAAUGAGUGACAGCGAAUCAUACAACGAUGAAAAUUUGAGCAAAAAAUAAAUCAUACUGUCCUACAGAAAUAAAAUGCUGAAAUAAGAAGAAAUCAAAGGUCAUCGAGAAAAAAUGAUUAGGUUAACUCAAACCAUAACUGUAAAGUCUCGAAUUUUAUAUUCUUAAAUUGGUUGGUGUAUCCCAUAUAAGAAACGAGCUAUGGUGGCUCAAUCCAUUUAAGGUAGUGAAAUCACAAGCCACGAGUUAAACUAAAGCUCAAAUAUUUAAGAAAUUAAGUUUAAAUAAAUUUAAUUACAAAGAUUUAUUAAAUAACUGGGUCUCACAAUGGUCAUCAGAUGCUAUUUCACAUAGGUAACUUAGGUACGAAUCACCAUGUUGGUUUUUAAUAAAAUAUUUUAUAUUUUGGAGUUAAAAACUUUUCAUUUUGCACAUUAAAAAUAAUUAUAUCAAGUUAAUCGGAUGAAAUAAUUAUUUUAUUAAUGGAUAUUAAUAGAUAUAGGUUACAAAUCAUAUGAAUAAUUCAUUUUCCUUGAUGGUUCAUCAUAUAAAUGUUUUAUAAAUUUUUUUUUAUAAGAAUUAUAUUUUAUAGGCUUAAAACUUUUUAAAUUCUUACUUAAAAAUUCUAUUUAACAAGGUUAAUGAUAAUAUAACUCUCAUAUUUAGUUUUUCACUAAAAAUGGAGGUUACAAGACUUUUUCUCUACACCUUUCCUCAAAUAUGAAUUUGCUUUUUUUAUUUCUUUUUCUCACAUAAAUCUCUUUUUAGUUAAGCUAAGCUCAAAUUAAUAGCAAGAAUCUGAAGGAAAAAGGUUUCUACACAUUUUAUUCCUUUAUAUUUCAAGAAAAUCAAAGUAUGUGGUGGUAAGUAUUUACCCUUUUUGUUUAUUAUAUGUAUAUAUAUGUAUGCUUGUAAUGUGUAUUAAAAUUUUUUGAGGAAUUUGUUGAUAUCAGUCCUAUUGAGCUUAAAGCUCACACUUUUCCAUUUUGAAAAAUGUUUUCGGAUUAAAAUAUGGUCCAAAAAGUGGGAUUUACUUGGAUUGCAGAAAAUCGAAAGGGAGAAAAGUGCUUCAUUUGUGUAAUUAGUCACAUUUGAAGAGUUUCUAAUUCUUAAUAGUUAUGCAACUUAUGUAAGGAUUUUUAAUUAAAGAUGGGCUUGUAUGUGUAAAUAAUUGUGUGUUAAAUUAUAGGCUAUCGAAUUCGGUUGAGCCCGAUUAAAGUGAUCUAAUAAGGUUUCGGUUUUUGGGCUUUAAUGUAUCCAAUUAAAGCAUGGGUUUACAUAUGUGUAGAGACCGGGCCCAAGUCCUAAUUCUAUGAGAGGCCGAAUUAGGUCAAAGGGCAUCCUCAUAUAAAUAGGUUAUGGUCCCCAGAUCACACGCAACGAAUUAUUCAUUCUCUACUGCAUCCCAUCACAGAGAGGAAAAGGAGACUGCGUGUAGAUUUGGAAGAUCAUACCGCGAAAUCCAUAUUGCAUUAACCAUGUCAGAUUCAGGUAUACUUCCGCUUUAAUUCUUAUAUUUCUCGAUGAUUUAACAUGAAAGAUCCAGUAAUUUAAAGCAUUAAAUUAUCCAACAACUUAUACUUAAUUUCUAAAAGAUAUUGAUUUAUCUUUCCUUAAGAUUUCUUAGUUCUUUUUUUUUUUUAUGUGAACAUUGAAAUUUUUAAUUGGUUUAAAUAUGCAUAUAAUUAAAGUUACUAAAAAAGUGAAGAUUAAAUUUUAGACUUGUAAACAAUAAUUUUCAGCUUACUACAUGAACUUUGCCGUGUCAUCUCGGAUAGAAUUCUUUGAUUUUUGUUUUUUUUAGUGGAGUUUGAAAGCACUAUUAGUUCUCUGUCGGUUGACUUCAGAAUCAAGUCAAUUGAAGGUCGGUAGGAUAAGUUAUGCCAUUUUUUGUGUGCCAUAUUUAGUGUACCCAAAAAUAAUUUUUUCCACAUGUUUGAGUGUCCAUUUGAGUGCCAAAAUGAUAGAAAUUUUGAAAUAUUACUAUGUUGUACUUGGAUGAAUUUAGAAAAUACUAUAUAAAUUUCAUAGAAUUAUAAAUCCAAUAAAUGGUUCAAAUAAGCAUGAUCAUUGGGUAGCGCGUUGCUGAAUUUAACUCCUUUAACAUACGCUAAUAUUCAUUUUAAUCCUCCUUUUUAGUUUCAUUAUUUAAUAAAUCAGAGAUAUCUACUUUAAAUUAUUUGUUUCCAAUAUAUUUUGAAAUUUGUAAUAGAAAGUAAGGGUAAACUACAAAAUAAAAAGGAAAUUAAAAAAAAUUAAUUUAACUUGAAUUUUUUUAAAAGAAAAAUUGUAAAAAAUGCACGUUGUUGUUUUAUGUAACAAUUUCAAAUUUCAAAUUUUAAAAUGAUUCUGUAAACAUUAUUGAUGUAUUAAAAAAUCUUAUUUAUUUACUUACAUGUGUAGACGUAAUUUAAAUGAGAACAUGUAGUACUAGCAUGUCAUGUGUUAAAAGUUUUAAAUAGAUAUGUUCAUCACAAAUUUUCUUAUGUGCUUAAGAAACGUAUUAAAAGUACGAAAAAAGAGAGAUUCGAUAAGGAUUUGAAUUAUCCUCUAUACUCCACCCAAAUCCUCAACAUGAAAAUUUUAUUAAACAUUUUCAUGGAAUUCCUAAGUUAUAUUUUCAUGACUUUUAUUGUUAGUUGUGGAAAAAAAAAUGUAUUGGACUGUGAUAACUAUGGGUAACAAAUGGCUAGAAGAAGAAGUCCAGUUAGUGCCAUAGGAAUGGCAAUUAGAGCGUAUUUGUAUUUUGAAGUUGAUCAUUCCCUAGGUUUAGAGGAUCAUGUGCAAAGUGUUCGUAAGCUUUGGGUGGCAACGGAAAAUGCAGGCUUCAAAUUAGAAAUUGACAAGCCACUUGACAUCUCGUGGAUAUAUUAGCACCUUGUGAAGAGCAUAUAUAUUGGCAAGCUUUUAUUUAAAGAAAUGACAUCAGUAAUUCCAUCGGAGAAUCUACGUGAUAUAGAAUAUGUAGAUUUUUGAAAUGCACUUAAAGAGUACUGGGAAACCUAUUCGGAAAAGUAAUCUCACGUUCCAAUUCAAAUUCAGGAAUGAUGACAGAUGAUGAGGUAACUCAACCAUUGGGAAUUGAUGAAGUAAAUCAACCAAUGGGGAUCAUCGAGGAAGCGGUAGAGGAAGGCCUCAAAAAGAUUUGAAGGAAGACUGAAAGGAGAAUGUAGAAGGCCUAUAGAUGACAAAUAAAAUAAAUAAAUAAGAAUAAUAUCAACAUUAUGUUUUUCUUUGUAGUUUUAAUUAAGUUCAAAUGACAUGUAAACUUUCUUAAGUUUGAGAUUGUAAAUGAAGUUAUGCACUUUUCUUUUAAAUUUUCAUUCUUAAAUUAGUGGCGUGCAUAU
rnacentral:lncRNA from 1 species